CAAGAAAAAGCUGAAAAGGGAGCAAGAGGUUUGUCGCAAAGGGCGGCCACGACAAGAUGAAAGUGUCAGUGGUUCUUGUCUCUUGUCUCUGUUCCUUUGUCAGUCGUGUUUGUUUUCUUUUCUUUUUUUCUUUGUCUUUGUCUUUGUGUCCGUCUUU
rnacentral:ribozyme from 14 species